CGGGAUGUGGCCCAGCUUGGUAAGAGCACUUGGUUCGGGACCAAGAGGUCGUGGGUUCGAAUCCCACCAUCCCGACCA
rnacentral:tRNA from 1 species